UUCUUCAUUCAAGACAAUCUUUUCCGACAGGAACAAGUGAAUCAAGAACCCAAGGAGAGAACUGGGCUUAUACUUUCAAAUCAAAGGAAAGAAGUAUUCUGACUUUGUCAAGGGUCCCAUUAACCACAAAAAAAGCAGUGACUUUCUCCAUUCUCAUGUUUUCAGAGUUUUAUUUUUGUUCCCAUCUACAUUUAUUAUUAUUUGUUUUUAUUUUUAAAUUUCAACUUUUAUUUCUCGCUUGUUGGGGUUGUAUUUCCUUCAGCCCAAGAGGUUUCUGUAGUUUUAUUUUCUUUACCCCUAGAGGCAAAGCCUUCCCAUCAUGAGUUAUGCCUUGUCAUUAGUUGCAUGGAGGCACUACUCUCCUUAUGUGAAAUCUUUUCCUCUAUGGCUGCACAAGCACCAUCCGAGGGAAAUGUCUCUACCAUCCUCCAUCACCACUGUGGCAACACUGAACCAUCCAAAACUCAGUCCAGGGCAAUUGGUCUGAGCCCAGACUCUCAUGGACUCAUAUCUAAAUUCUGAUAUACUUUCAAUAACGAUUCCUCUGUGAGGUGACGUAUUACUCCAUUUUUACGUGAAAUCUUAUUGCUAAUGGACUCUAGCACUAAAACACCAUGAUAAGAUUUGGUCAGGAAGAAACAUGUCCUGUGGAAGUUUUGAUACAUCUCAGAAAACAGGAAGAACACACUAAUGAGCGGUCUCUGCUAAACUCCCGUUCUGCACUUGGCCUCCAGAGGGCGAGGCUGCACAAACUGGAGCUUUUGUUUCUGUUGAAGAUCAAUUCACUGCUCAGUUUCUUCUUCCUGCAGCUGGUUGAGUUCUUUCUAGACAGAGACAAGUGACAAGAAUCAGAGGUUUAAAAGCAACCACAUUCAUCUCUGCAGGUUUUGUAGUUUUAUAUAAGCAAGGAGCUCGUCCAGCAAACCUUCCCCACACUUCUUGUUCUUGGUCUCUUCAGCCACUUUCCUUCUUGUUCUCUGGAGAUCUUGCAGAAAAGAGCCUAUAGUGUUUCCCUUGCUCAGCCAUGCUCCUGGUGUUCAUCCCACUGCUGGGGAUACAUUUUGUCCUGAGAACUGCCAGAUCCCAGUCAGUGACCCAGCCUGAUAUCCAUAUCACCGUCUCUGAAGGAGCCUCACUGGAGUUGAGAUGUAACUAUUCCUAUGGGGCAACACCUUCUCUCUUCUGGUAUGUCCAGUCCCCCGGCCAAGGCCUCCAGCUGCUCCUGAAGUACUUUUCAGGAGACAGUGUGGUUCAAGGCAUUAAAGGCUUUGAGGCUGAAUUUAAGAGGAGUCAAUAUUCCUUCAACCUGAGGAAACCCUCUGUGCAUUGGAGUGAUGCUGCUGAGUACUUCUGUGCUGCGGGUGCCACAGUGCCUGGGUCUGCAGGGGGAGCUGAACACAAACUGCCUAUGCUAGAGAAGUUUUCAGAGACUCAGUGUAUCUUCCUGUGACAUUUUCAAAGAUCUCUUGCUUUUAGGAUAGUGAGUGAGGCAAAGAAAGCUGAGCACAUCCAGACAUUUCUAUAUAAUUCUGCAAUUCCUUCUGUGUCCCAUGUCAGGUAAACUUUGUUUUAGAAGCUUUUUGUUAAUUGAAGAAACUGCGUAAUAGGAAAUAGUAUUCUAGAAUGAUGGAGGAGACAUACUUCUUAUCACCUAACAAUCAGGUUCUCAAGGACCUUUCCUUGACCGUGACUGCAUUAAGUGGUUGACUAUGGGAAUGUUGAUAUGGUCUAGGAUAACCUUGGUUUUCAUUUAUCAUUUAAUCUCUCAACUAACCCAGAAAACAAAAGAUAAGCUUCUCAUGUUCUUACCUUGCAAGUUUGCAUUCUUGAGCUGGUCAUUCGUAGGGUAUUUUCUUAGAAUUUAUUUUUUCUGGCUUUAACUGUGCUAUUCAGGUUUCAGGAUAUCUUGUCUCAGUAACUCUAUUUAGGAAGAAUUAUGAGAAAUUAUUAGCCAAUGGUGAAAGUUUCAUUAGAAUCAUGAAGGACUCAGAAAAUUGUCACAGCGAUGUGAGUUCUGGCAACUAGGAAUAGUGCACAAGGAGAAUGAAGAUUUAGAAUUCAUCAGUGUUUCUCCAAAGACUUUUUCACAGUUAUAAAAAUAGCUUCUAUUCUAUUGAUAUAUUAAUUAUGCAAAUCUACAUUGUAAGUUUUUCUAUGAAAUUCCGUUCAUCUCUUCUAGCUACUGACACUUUUACUUGUUGCUUUCACUCUGUUGUUACAUGGUUUCACUAUUGAAAUAUUAAAGAUUGAUUCUUUUUUUGGAGAUAGGGUUUUACUCAUUCACCUAGGCUGGAGUGCAGUGGCAUGAUCAUAGCUC